rnacentral:rRNA from 1 species
UGGGGAAUAUUGGACAAUGGGCGAAAGCCUGAUCCAGCCAUGCCGCGUGUGUGAAGAAGGUCUUCGGAUUGUAAAGCACUUUAAGUUGGGAGGAAGGGCAUUAACCUAAUACGUUAGUGUUUUGACGUUACCGACAGAAUAAGCACCGGCUAACUCUGUGCCAGCAGCCGCGGUAAUACAGAGGGUGCAAGCGUUAAUCGGAAUUACUGGGCGUAAAGCGCGCGUAGGUGGUUUGUUAAGUUGGAUGUGAAAGCCCCGGGCUCAACCUGGGAACUGCAUCCAAAACUGGCAAGCUAGAGUACGGUAUAGGGUGGUGGAAUUUCCUGUGUAGCGGUGAAAUGCGUAGAUAUAGGAAGGAACACCAGUGGCGAAGGCGACCACCUGGACUGAUACUGACACUGAGGUGCGAAAGCGUGGGGAGCAAACA